GACAGUUUGGCCAAGUGGUCUAAGGCGCUAGCUUAAGGCGCCGGUCCGAAAGGGCGUGGGUUCGAACCCCACAGCUGUCA
rnacentral:tRNA from 1 species